UCCAUCUACUUCCACGUGGAAGUGAAGGGAUGGACCUUGUGCGUUAAAGUUUCUUUUGUGGCCAGCAAUUAAGAUCUGUGUGGGUGGCAAAAUUAUUAAAGUAAGUUAAAUGUAACUUUCUUCUUGGCCACUAUAAGUCAAAAAGGAAAGAGAACCAGUUUUCUCUAAUUACUACUCUCUGUUUUUACGCUUAUGGCUUUAUGAUCCAGUGGGGGUCGUGAAAAAAGAAGAGAAUCAAAGGAAAAAUAAAUUAUCCAUAUCAUCAUGUCCAGGCUCGUGUUUUAGUUGUGUUAUCUGGAAGUUUCGCGGAAGUCCAGCUAGAUCCGGCAUGGCGAGCUUGCUAUCGUUCGAGGUUGUUCCUCCUCUAUCUACUCUAGCUAGUCUUUUGCACUCGAAAUUGCUUGUGUAUAUUGUGUACAUUUUAGAUUUUAUCUAGUACUCUGAGUGCCUGUUAGUAGUGGCUCCAGUACCGACCUUAUCAGGUCUUGGGAAUAAUUCUUUUGUGUAUUUGGUCCUUUUCCACUCCUUGUUUCAGUAUAUGAGAUAUUUUUACUUUC